CCCCUAGACGUUCUGGGCUGCACGCGCGCUACAAUAAUACGCACAGCGAGUAUCACCGAGCUCGAAAGGGCAAGGUAAACAAUAGAAAAGGUACUGUAAUGGUUAUAGAUCCUUGUAAUUAUUGAUCUUCAACGAGGAAUUCCUAGUAAGUAUGUGUCAUCAUCACGCACUGAUUACGUCCCUGCCCUUUGUACACACCGCCCGUCGCUCCUACCGAUUAAGUGAGCCGAUGAAACUGCCGGAUGUGGACUAUUCAUAGUCUGCAGAAGAUAUUUGAAUCGUAGCGCUUAGAGGAAGGAGAAGUCGUAACA
rnacentral:rRNA from 1 species